AACGAACGCUGGCGGCAUGCCUAACACAUGCAAGUCGAACGAGCCCUUCUGGUAUAGUUGCUCACGGGUUGGUAACGCGUGGGAACCUGCCCUUAGGGUGGGAAUAACGCCCCGAAAGGGGUCCUAAGACCGGGAAAUCACUUCGGACCAGAGAUUUAUCGCGUUUGGAUGUGCCGAAGUUGUAUUAGCCAGUUGGUAGGGUGAGAGCCUACUAAGGCGACGAUCCAUAGCUGGUCUGAGAGGAUGGUCAGCCACACUGGGACUGGGACGCGGCCGAGACUCCUACGCAAGGCAGGAGUGUCGAAUAUUGCACCAUGGGCGGAGGCCUGAUCGUGCACUGCCGCGUGAGUGAUGAAGGCCUUGGGGUUGUAUAGCUCUUUUAACCGGGAUGAUAAUGACAGUACCGGGCGAAUAAGCCACGGCUAACUCCGUG
rnacentral:rRNA from 1 species